UACGUAGGGGGCAAGCGUUGUCCGGAAUCAUUGGGCGUAAAGAGCGUGUAGGCGGCUCGGUAAGUCCGCUCUGAAAGCCCGGGGCUCAACCCCGGGAGGCGGGCGGAUACUGUCGGGCUAGAGUCCGGAAGAGGCAAGUGGAAUUCCUGGUGUAGCGGUGAAAUGCGCAGAUAUCAGGAGGAACACCAAUGGCGAAGGCAGCUCGCUGGGACGGUACUGACGCUGAGACGCGAAAGCGUGGGGAGCAAACAGG
rnacentral:rRNA from 1 species